rnacentral:pre_miRNA from 1 species
GUGUACCAGCGUAUGGAUGAAAUUAAGCAUCGGGGACAGGUGUGUUUGCCUGUGUGUGGAUGGUGUUGAUCAAUAGGGGCAGGUGUGUUUGCCA